UGUUAAGGAGCCUUAUGUAGUGUAUUUACUGAACAAAAAUAGAAAAUGCAAGAAUUUCAACAAUUUUACUGAGUUACAGUUCAUAAGGAAAUUUAAAUAAAUAAAUGAGGCCCUCAUCUAUGGAUUUCGCAUGACUGGGCAGGGGCGCAGCCAUGGGUGGGCCUGGGACGUUAUAGGCCCACCCACUUGGAAGCCAGUAGUGAUGGGUCAUUCACGAACGAGUCAGCUCUAAGAGCUGGAUCUUGUAGGUGAACGUUGGGAGCCGUCUCGCAUAUCAGAAGAGCCUAAUGUAUUUAUAAAAAAAUAUAGAUAUGAAUAAUCAAAAUAAUUAAAUGAAUAGAAUUAACUAAUUCAAAGAAAGAAAAAAUAAAUAAAAUAAUAUAGGCCUAAAUGCUUAAGCGCACACAGGUUCGUUCUGACUGUCUGCUCAGACUAACAGCCUCACCUGUUGUUCCUGUCAAUCAAUGAACCAAAGAUGCGUGAGGGAGGGCCAAGACAACUCACUCACAGUCUCACACUUAGCAGCCAAGGAGAGAGAGGAAGGACAGCUGUGAAAACAACAGCUGGAAAAUGAGUCGGAAGCAUAGUAGCAUUUGGAUGCAUUUUAAUAAUGUAGACCAUGUUAGAGCACAAUGUUGAAUUUGCCAAAACAAAAUCUCAUAUAAAGCCGGUUCUACGCACAACCUACACCGGCAUAUGCGAACUGUGUAGCCAACUGUGAAGCUAGCUGUAGUGGAGCUUCGAGAAACUAGCGGGCCUGCUAGUGAUAGUGGUGGAGCCAGCACCUCCACACGUGGAGAUGUAUCCACUCAGUCAAGUAGGCCAACUCCACGACCCACAGCAACGGACUCUUCUAUAAACCAGUUUAUACCAAAGUCUAUGUCUGUAGCAAAACAAGGCCAAAUUUAUAUUGCAUUGGUUAAAAUGAUGGCCACCAAUUUCCCGCCAUUUUCGAUCGUGGAGGACAGAGGUUAUAGAAAUUAUAGCAAUAGUCUAAAUCAAAUGUACACAAUUCCAAGCAGAAAUAACCCUUUCAAAAUCACUUAUUCUACAACUGUACUAGAGCACAAAUGCAUCAGUGCGGGAAAGAGUCCAAAAGCUACUGCAGUUUGCCUUACCACUGACUGCUGAACAUCAGGGGUAACCACUUAUUACAUGUCACUUCAUUGAAGAUUUCUCGAUGUCUAGCUGUCUUCUGGACUGCUUUGAGUUCAGUGACAGACACACCUCAGAGAACUUGGCAGAGGAACUGUUGAGAGUGGCCAGAGAAUGGCAAGUAGAUGGAAAAGUGGUCUGUUGUGUUAGCGACAAUGCAGCUAACAUAACCAAAGCCAUGAAAAUGUUUAAAUGUACCUAUCAUCCAUGUCUUGCUCACACAAUCAACAUGAUUGUAACAGAUGCUCUGAAGGUGACAAAGCCCACUGUGGACAAAGUGAAAGCAGCUGUGGAAUACUUCCACAGGAGCACAGCAGGUGCUGAAAAACUAGUCUACACAACACCAGAUGAGCUGAGGCCUAAACAAGACUGCACUACAAGGUGUAAUUUAACAUUUUAGAUGUUGAAGCGGUUUCUUGAGUCAAAGGAUGCCAUCAUCUCUACCCUGGCCAUUGUCAAUGCACCUGUUGAUGCUCUGACCUAAGAGAAAUGGGAGGUGGUGGAGGAGGUGUGCAGAGUCCUGGAACCCUUUGAGCAGGUCACUGUGGAGAUCAGUGGAGAGAGCCUCAAAAAUGAUACUCCUGUGUAAGGGUCUGCAGCGAAUCACAGCCAGCCACCAGAGAGAAGCAAAUGUAACCACAGGACAUGUGACAGAGUUGAUGGAUACCCUGUGUUCAUCAAUGGACAGAAAGUUCCACAGAAUGGAAUAUAAUCACGUGCUAUCAGAAACCGCUGCACUUGACCCCAGGUUUAAGAAGUUAGCCUUCAGUGAUACAAGAGCAAUUGAUGAGGCUCUUCAAAAAAUAGCCUCAGCAGCAGGGAGGGACAGCCCCAGCAGUCAGCUGGCUCAGGCACCAGGAAGAAGAGGGAGCAGAAGCACCAGCAGUAGUGCCACAAAUGUCUGCUGUUUGACGAGAGAGCAACUGGGGAUGCAGCAUGAAGGAAUCCCUUAGCAGAUGCCAUAAUGGAGAUCCAAUCCUAUUUGGAGGAGCCCCUCUCUCAUAAAAGCAAAAUAUGGUCAGCAUUGCUGUGUGCUGCUGGUUAUAACAUGGCAAUAAAGAGAGAAAAUAGGGACCAGUUUAAUGUUUUAAGUGGAAUGCUGCAGUUUUGCACAUUAUUUUUCUUUGAUAUGGUGCAAUAUUCUAUUAUGUUUUUCAGACUGUAUUCAUUUUGAAUUGUUACAUUUAUAUGCACUUUGUUUAUAUACAUUAAAAUAGUUGUACUUAAAAUGCACAUGGGUAAUAGCAUCCUUCUUUCUUACAUUCAUUUCAAUUUGUGGGAUGCUGCAGUUUUGCAUAUUGUAAUUUAUUUUUCUUUGAUAUGGUGCAGUAUUCUAUUGUGCUGUUCAGAUUGUAUUAAUUUUGAAUGGUUAGAUUUAUAUGCACUUUGUUAAUAUACAUAAAAAGUUAUACUUUAAAUGCAAAUGUUUAAUAGCAUUCUUUUUCAUAAUAAACCAAUGCAUUUUUAAA
ensembl:lncRNA